UACGAGGGGGGCAAGCGUUGUUCGGAAUUAUUGGGCGUAAAGGGCGCGUAGGCGGUGUCGCAAGUCCGUGGUGAAAUCUCUAGGCUCAACUUAGAGACUGCCGCGGAAACUGCGGUGCUUGAGUGUGGGAGAGGUGCGUGGAAUUCCUGGUGUAGCGGUGAAAUGCGUAGAUAUCAGGAGGAACACCGGUGGUGUAAACGGCUUUCUGGACCAUAACUGACGCUGAGGCACGAAAGCGUGGGUAGCAAACAGG
rnacentral:rRNA from 1 species